rnacentral:rRNA from 1 species
AACGAACGCUGGCGGCAGGCCUAACACAUGCAAGUCGAGCGCGCCCUUCGGGGUGAGCGGCGGACGGGUUAGUAACGCGUGGGAAACGUACCCUUUGGUAGGGAAUAGCCACUGGAAACGGUGAGUAAUACCCUAUGAGCCCUUCGGGGGAAAGAUUUAUCGCCAAAGGAUCGGCCCGCGUUAGAUUAGGUAGUUGGUGGGGUAAUGGCCUACCAAGCCUACGAUCUAUAGCUGGUUUUAGAGGAUGAUCAGCAACACUGGGACUGAGACACGGCCCAGACUCCUACGGGAGGCAGCAGUGGGGAAUCUUGGACAAUGGGGCAACCCUGAUUCCCAGCCAUGCCGCGUGAGUGUAAGAAGGCCUUAGGGUCGUAAAGCUCUUUCGCCUGUGAAGAUAAUGACGGUAGCAGGUAAAGAAACCCCGGCUAACUCCGUGCCAGCAGCCGC